rnacentral:ncRNA from 1 species
CCCGCCUAACUUAAGCAUAUCGUUAAGCGGAGGACAAGAAACUAAACAGGAUUCCCUCAGUAGGCAGGAUUCCCUCAGUAGCGGCGAGCGAGCAUGGACCAGCUCAGCGCCGAAGCCGUCGACGGGCGACCGUCGACGGAGGUGUGGUGCGUAGGCCUGGCGGACGUGCGAACAACCUGUCGUCGUAGGCUGCCUUGAUCGGGACGUCGGAGAGGGUGCAAGGCCCGUGACGACGGCGGUUGCCCGCAACGCGCUCGCCGGGCUGUCGAGACGGGUUGCUCGAGAGUGCAGCCAAAAGCGGGUGGUAAAUCCCACCUAAAGCUAAAUACGACUACGAGACCGGUAGCGAACAAGUACCGCGAGGGAAAGUUGAAAAGAAGUUUGAAGAGAGAGUUCAGAGGACGUGAAACCGUUCGGAAGCAAACCGAUGGAGCUGUCGUCGUUUGGUCGGCACUCAGUCGAAACGGGCCGCAGUGACGUUGUGCGCUGCCAGCCAGCCUCGGCCGGUUGGUCACGCCGCUGCCCACAAUGUACGGGCGCCGAACGAUGCACUUGCCGACCAGUGGCGUCACGAGCGACGGGCGGCGGAGCAUGGGCUCGCGCUCGUUGUCGCAACAACAACGGGUGCGCUGCUUGGCCCGGCGCGAAGAGGGUGCUUGGCGUGACCGCUCGUCGUUCACCGACGGGCGGCCCUCCGUCCUAUCAGAACCGGCGCGCCGUUUGGCCGCAGCUCCGUCCUGACGCUUGCCGCCUGUCGCCCAGCGAAACGCGCGAGACGACCUUGCCGACUGGCAGUCGACGACGGUUCGUGCCAGCGGGCGACCGUUGGCCGCGCUGCCGACUGCGCUCCAUGCCGAGGCGCACGGCGGUCCCGGCGUACGUUCAACCAUUUUUGACCAGUCGCCCUUUAGGACCGGUUCACCCCGCGCUUCCUUCUGAGGUGGCUUGCGUGGUUGACGGUUGCGCUGUUGCGACGCCAGCCGACGCCUUCGACCAGUCGGCCGAGGCGAACUCUGUGACGUCCGCGUCAGUCGCCCAUCGGACCCGUCUUGAAACACGGACCAAGGAGUCCAGCUUGUGCGCAAGUCAUUGACACAACUGACUACGGUCAACGGCGAAACGAGAGUGCUCUGUGCGCGGCUCUUUUGCCCGCACCUCGCUGAUCCCGUCGCCGCCACCGCUGCUGCUGGCGGUGGCGACGGGCGCACAGCGGUGCCGCCGGAUCCGUCGCCGCUAACUUGGCCUUCGGGUCGACCAAGCGAACGGUCGGGCCUGCGGACUCGGAGCGCACACGCUGCUACCCGAAAGAUGGUGAACUAUGCAUGAGCAGGACGAAACCAGAGGAAACUCUGGUGGAAGUUCGUAGCGGUGUGUACAAAGGGCAGGGACGUAGUCAACGCAAGCUGAUGACUCGCGCUUACUGCGAAGGCCGAUUUGCUUUGAGAAAUCGCGCCGCUCUUCCCCCGGAACGCCUCGAACGGCUACUGGGCUAGUUUUGGUAAGCAGAACUGACGAUGUGGGAUGAUCCGAACGUCAGGUUACGGUGCCCAAUGUUCGGUACUCAUCAGAUUCAGUACUCAUCAGACACCAUGAAAGGUGUUGGUCGAUAUAGACAGCAGGACGGUGGCCAUGGAAGUUGGAAUCCGCCAAGGAGUGUGUAACAACUCACCUGCCGAAUCGACUAGCCCUGAAAAUGGAUGGCGCUCGAGCGCCGAGCCUGUACCUGACCGCCUCGGCAAUGUUGUUGUCGGUCCCGCGCGUGCAUUUGCGGACGACCGAAGGCCAAGGCGUGUAGGAAGAGGUCGCGACGGUGCGCAUUGAAGGUGUUGAGCGUGAGCUCGCCCGGAGCCGCCGUCGGUGCGGAUCUUGGUGGCAGUAGCAAUUAUUGAAGUGAGAACCUUGAAGGCCGAAGUGGAGAAGGGUUCCACGUGAACAGCAAUUGCACAUGGGUCAGUCGAUCCUGAGAACGAGGCGAAAGCCCAGGCGCAGCGGCGUGACAUCGUUCCUUUGUUCGCCGUAGCCAGCAGCACGCCGUACCGUUCGAAAGGGAAUCCGGUUGAAAUUCCGGAACCGAGCCUCAGAGAUGUACACCCGCGUCUGCGGCUGUCGCUUCCGCGGCGGUGGCCUCGUCGCCGCUCGCUGUUCGGUUUGCGCGGCUGGAAGUACGCGGGACUGGUGCGCGCGGUAACGCCCUUGAACUCGGCCAGCAGCCGUCGGCAGUUCCGGAAAGAGUUUUCUUUUCUUCAUAAGGCACGCAGUCGCUGGAACCGGGUUGUCCGGAGAUAGCGACGAUGUCGCCGCAAAACGCCGCGUCUCCCGUGGCGUUCGGAACGCUCUCGACGGUCCGUGAAAAGCCGAGCUACGCCGUAUAAAUCCGUGCUCGCUCGUACCCAUAUCCGCAGCAGGUCUCCAAGGUGAACAGCCUCUGGCC